UACGAAGGGGGCUAGCGUUGCUCGGAAUUACUGGGCGUAAAGCGCACGCAGGCGGAUCGAUAAGUCAGGGGUGAAAUCCCGGGGCUCAACCUCGGAAUUGCCUUUGAUACUGUCGAUCUCGAGUCCGGGAGAGGUGAGUGGAAUUCCUAGUGUAGAGGUGAAAUUCGUAGAUAUUAGGAAGAACACCAGUGGCGAAGGCGGCUCACUGGCCCGGUACUGACGCUCAGGUGCGAAAGCGUGGGGAGCAAACAGG
rnacentral:misc_RNA from 1 species